CUUUUUUGAUUUUUUUUUCUUUUUCAUUAAUUUGCUUUUAAUUUCAUAUUUUUUCCUACUUUUUACCAUGCUUGGUAAAUAGUCAAUGUCUGGAUUAUUGUCACACACGUGUUACUUUCCCGUUCUCCAUUGUUACGUGUUUGCAUCGGCUUCUUCCAGAAAAGCACCACCGCCUCUGCCUCCGAUUAAACAGCCCACCAACUUUUCCUAACCAAAUUAUGUACUCUACCAUCUGGGUUUUAUCCAAUUUGAAUAACCUCCAGCCAGUCAUCGCUUUCUUCCCCAGCAUGCCACUCAAUCACAUCCUCUGCAAACACCGGUAUUUGUAAGUUCUCUUCUUCUAUCGUCUUCUUUUCUGAAUCUACUCCAUUUGGACCUCCCUCUUCCAAUCUCCACCCCUGAUUCCCCGAUCCAGCGCUAAAAAAGAACAAUUUAAUUUUAAAAUGCCGAACUCCCAUCCCAUUGCGCAGCCACAAGAACAUAACCCGCCACAACGAAAGCGCUGGUUAUCUCCCUCGCCAUCCACUGGCUAUGGCCUAGGGUUUUCUAAUAGCAAAAGCAGACAAAGCAUCGAAUCAGGUAAAACCAACUUCAAUGAUCAUUUUUCAAAAUCGGAAUCCUCGAGCUCUUUUAUCUUUCGUUCAGUUGCGACAAAGGAGGCCGAUAAUGCCAAUGGAUAGAACUCUACUGCAAGAAAUUCAGCUGUAUCCAUGGAUCCUUUUCCAAAAUCGGAAUCCUUGAAAUCUUUUAGCUUUCCAGUUCAAAAGGUAUCAUGUUUUUAUUGUUUUUUUUAUUAGUUUCAUCGGCUUUGUCUAUAGCUGUGAUUGUCUUCAUUUUUAGGGAUUUAAUGACUCAAGUGAGAGGGUACCAUUUUUUACUAUAUUGUUUCCAGUAUCCUGCCUACAAUCUGCAAACGAAUUUUUGUUAUUCCUGCUCUUGGUAACUUUUUUUUUUUGUUUUUUUAUCUUUGUUCCUAUAGGGAAUAUGAUCGCUUGCCUCCAUCAUAACCGAAGAACAAGAUUCAGUUACACCCCAACCACUUCAUAUUGCCAUUUGAAAGAGAGUCUCACUACGCACCCCAACUGCUCGAUUAAAUGUUUGAACCAAGAUGCCUAGAAAAGAUCAGUUUUUUUCUUCCGGAAAUAUGAAAAAAAAAGGUGUGACUUAUAAUUUGAGUUGGGGCAGGGUCAUAGCUGAAAAUUUGAAGAUUAAGCUCAAACUUUUGAGUAGGAAAAGAGAAUAGUGAAAAUGGAUUGACAGAAGUUUAAAUAUGCUUGAGAGGCAGGGGUAUAACUGGAAAGUUGAAGGUCGGUAGAUGGUUAAAGAGUUUUAGAGGUAGGGGCAUAAUUAGGAAGUUGAAGGUAACGAAAGAGGAACCGACAACAAAAGACGAAGUAGACCGAUUCCAGAAGCACGUGACAAGUUAGGCUGCUUUAGACUUCUUCAUGUGCUUGAAAUCCGAUAUUUUUGUAAUGACACAUGGAGGUAAUUUUGCGAAAUUAAUAAUUGGUGCAAGAGGGUAGAUGUCAAGAGAAAUCGGAGGUGUCUUUUAUGGAAUUUCAAUCUUGGACCUUACACGGGAACAAAUUCAUUUCUGAAAUAGUUAUCUCUAGGAUUUCAUGUAUGUAAGUUUUUAGUUAUGGAAACUUAGUUAUCCAAUUUCCUUUAGGAUUCACUAUCUGUAAUUUUUGAUAUUGGUAGGUAUAGCUUUUUCAAAUGGAUACAAAUGUAAGUCUAAUUUUGCUAUGGGUAAAAAAAGGCAAAAAAAAUA